rnacentral:misc_RNA from 1 species
GUGAAUCAUCGAAUCUUUGAACGCAAAUUGCACUCUCCUCGGAGAGUAUGCCUGUUUGAGGGUCAGCCUAUAAAAAAUCGACAUCGUUGCUGUUUCGCGGUGACGUUCGUCGGAAAGUGGGCCAUCUUACAUCCUUUUGGUUUUAAGCGACUUAAAAUUUUCUUUUUGGUUCCAUGAACGACUCUAAGAUUUAUUUCUUUACACGUUUAAGGGUAUCGAUUUUUAUUAGACGUGACCAUCAUAACGGAUCGCGUCCAUACUCUUUCAUUAACUGACCUCAGA